rnacentral:tRNA from 1 species
GCCUUCGUGGUGUAACGGUAGCACGCUUGACCUGUAUUCCAGAGGUCCGUGGUUCGAUUCCCGGCGAAGGCG